rnacentral:snRNA from 1 species
GGAUGUGAGGGUGAUCUGGCUCUGACAUUUGUCACCCCACUGAUCACCAGGGUUAAUCUGGCUGAUCUGUCUGGCAAGGUGGGUGUCCCCUUCCUCUCUCAUGUCCCUUUCUGGGUCCCUCCCAAAACUGCGUGCUCGGUAGAAGAGGAUGACCGCCCCUGACAGAUGAGGGUUGUCCUUUGGUCAAAGGUAUAUAUAUAUAUAUAUAUAUAUAUAUAUAUAUAUAUAUAUAUAUAUAUGUAGCUGAGUUCCCCUUCUGGACCCUCCAAACAAAUGCUCAAGGUCCAUUUCUAGGAGAACAUGAGGUGGUCAAACUUCCAGGACUUCAAGCACGUCCAAAGCAGGUGCUGCGCGUGGCAGUCUGCCGUUCUU